GGUGUGAUGGCGUGGAUCGAUCAGAGCAAAGGGGGGAGAAGACAAACCCUAACUUCAUGAAAUUCUCAAGAAUUGAAAGAGAUUAGGAGCCCAAACUAAUGCAUGAACUCGAAACCUCAAUCAUCUAAGCUUGUACAACAAACGGAACGUGUCAAGGAGAGGUCAAGCAUAGGAGGAUAACGGGUCAAGAUAAGGCAAGAUGACAAAUACACUUAUUGGAGUACUCGAGGUAUGGGGUCGUUGGCUUCAUGAAGAAAUGGAGCUGGAUUUGGAUAAGAGUAUUUAAGAAAGCGCUUGGACAAUUCCACGACUACUUUAUAGAAUGCUCUACGAAAUUUUAUUAUAUAGUUUAAUGUUGAAUGGUAUGUUGAUAACUAAUGGUUUGGUUGUACGUGGUGUCCACAGGUAUCGCUUGGGUUUUCUCUACUUUUAUUGAAGUGAAGCGGACUUAGUUCGAGUUGAGAGCAAGGAUUGUACGGGCUAGAAUGGUCACAUAGUGUAACUCAUAUAGGUUUUGAAGUAUUAAUGUUAUAAAACGUUAUAAAUCCGUUUUAAUGAAUAUAUGGCAUUUCGCAUUUGAACUUUCAUGUGUUUGAUAUGUCUAUUAAAGAACGAAAUUUUUGGGCUCUUGUUUUCCGCUGCGUCGUAUUUUAAGUUAUUACGCGUUAGUCUUACAGGGAAUUGUUCUUAUUACGAACGGGUCAUGCCCGAAUUUUGUUAAAUAAUAGUAUGAUAAUAUUACAUUUUGGAAUGUGUAAUUUGGGCGUAACAAGUUGGUAUCAGAGCCCUGGUUUGAGAGAAUUAAGUACGAGAGUAUAAGUACUUGAACUCAAACCUGUGUGCUCUUGUGAUAAGGAACCCGUACAAUCCAUGACUCGAUCAAGAUCUAAAGGUAGAAAUGGAACGAAAAUGUGUAAGUAUGUAUUAGAUUAUGUAUUUGAAAGAAACUAAUAGUGUGUUAUGUGCAAGGUAAGCUUAAGAUCUUGAAGAGGAUGAUCCGUGAAUACAGAAUGGGAUGAACGCUAAGGCGGGCAAAGGUGCAAAUAGGCAAAUUAACCCCAGGUACACAUUACUAAUAUGUAUGAGUACCGAUGUCAAAAGAAAAAGGAAGGGGUCUCCUUGGGAGGGAAAUUAUUAAACGAAAGACAAUGAUGUGGUCUUGGGGAAGUUUUAGAAAUGUGCACGAAACUGAAACCCAUUUCUCGGGCAUAAGGCGAUGAUUACACGAAGGCACGAAACUAGUGUGUGAAUUGCGCACCUGGCCAGUACGCAAGAAGCAUAUGACGUUCGUGAGACCGUGGCAAUUAUUGCAGGUAUGUCCGGUAGAACUGGGUAGCAGGUGGGCGCUAUGUUGUAGCGAAUCCGAAAUAGCAAAUCCAUUGCGGAUUUGGUUAUGCUAACGAAGGUUAUGAAAAGUUAUGCGAGUCGACCGGUUCUAGCGAACAAGUCGAAUAAGAAUAAGCUACCAUCCGUUUUGAACGGGUGAUUUUGAAUGCUCUAAUGAAUGCUAGAAGCUUAAUCCGUUAUACGGAUUGAAAGAAGAAGUUAUGAUUAAAUGUGAAAAACCCAAUUAUUUGGGUAGUGGAAAAUGUGUAUGCUUAACUCUCGUUGAGAGUGUUUAUGCCAAACCCAAUUAUUUGGGUAGUGGAAAAUGUGUAUGCUUAACUCUCGUUGAGAGUGUUUAUGCCAAACCCAAUUAUUUGGGUAGUGUAAUGUGUAUGCUUAACUCUCGUUGAGAGUGUUUAUGCCAAACCCAAUUAUUUGGGUAGUGGAAUGUGUAUGCUUAACUCUCCUUGAGAGUGUUUAUGCCGAAACCCAAUUAUUUGGGUAGUCGAAUGUGUAUGCUUAACUCUCUUUGAGAGUGUUUAUGCCAAACCCAAUUACUUGG
rnacentral:lncRNA from 1 species